rnacentral:tRNA from 1 species
GCCGGGUUAGCUCAGCUGGUAGAGCAUCUCUCUUGUAAAGAGAAGGUCGUCGGUUCGAGUCCGACACCCGGCUCCA